CUUGGGACCGAGGCGAGCUUUCCUCUCCAUCUCUGGGUCAAGACGAAGCUUUCUGCCGAUGCGAUUGACGGCAUUACCAGACAGUAUUAGACACAGAUAGCUAGAUCUAACUUUGCCUGGUAAGACAGCAAUCAGCAGGCACUCACUCGGGCUAAAGGAAAACACCAUUAAAUCCAGGACUAGAAAGAUAGGGCAGGGAAAGGCUGAGGGCCUUUCCCUUAGACAAAGCGAUAACCAGUAAAUGUUUAACUUGCUUGCUUAUGAAGCAGUACCAUUAUAAAACACAACCAGUUCCAGUUCACUGCUAUAGGAGUUGAAAAGAAUUGUAGAGAACUUACCGACAGCUCUGGCCACUGCAUCCAUCUGGCUGUGAAAUUGCUCACCAUGCCCGUGCCUGGAGCAGCUCCAGCAGCAGCAGCACAGCAGGACUGUGGAUGCACAUGGGUGUCAGCUGAACAACCUGCCCUCACCCAUGGUCAAACUCCCCUCAGUGAGACAACUGCUUUAGAAUGAAUCUGAUGCAGCCCAGGCCUCAGGCAGCAAUGAAACCAUCCCAAGAAUCCUGCCUGUGGAAUUGCUCUCUUGUGAAACCAAUUGAAGGGAGAUGAAAAUCAGCAGGAGAAGGGGAGGGAAAGAUAUGGAGGCAGAAGGGGGUUUUCUGGGUUGCCCCUGGCUCUCAUGACUGUCUCUGUCCGAGGCAGGAUUGAAGGGACACUUUCCUAAGCAUACAUCACCACGGGGGCGGGCAGAGGGAUUUCCCUGGUCUCUGUGUCUUUGGUUUUAAGGCCACAUUCCUGUCCCUGCCCUGGAUGCCCCAUUAGAGCUGUUUGUUGGUUAUACAUUUAUUUACUCAGCUCCAUCCAAGGUUAGGACCCACACUUUGUGCUAAGCAGAGCCGGGAGGUAGGUGUGCGCUCCAAUCCAUCUUACUGCGAUGCUUGUUAAAAGCCAAUUUGCAGAGUCACUCAAAUUUCACACCAUUUCCUCAAUCCCCUGUGAGCCAGUUACUCAUUAACACAGAGGCUAAUCACCAGAGAGCCUCCUCUGCUGCUUCCUUCUCUCGCCCUGGGAAUCACAACCUGCAAGGGCAAGCACAACACCGAGCUUGUAGCAGUGAGUCAGCCCAUGGAGUUAAAGCAAGCACAGUCAGCGCCUUUCAAGCUGUCCACAUUGUAGUGGCAGCAGGGUGAAGUUAUACACAAAUCAGUUUGUUUUUCCCACUCUUCCUGGAUUACCUGGUAGUUUUGGGAAGGAAACACCCAGCUUGCUGCAAGGAAUUGGAAAAACAGGGAGAGAGUUCCAGUGGCAAAGGCAGAGAACGCAGAAUUUGCUUGGGUACCACUGUGUUUCUAUCCCAGUUCUGUUUUGGAGCAAGGAAGGGGAUUAACACUCCAUUGAGGAUGAGGAAGACACAAAUCAAUACUUGGAAUAUAUUUAAAGAGGAAUUUGUGGUCAGAGUGCGUGUGUAACAUUGCCUUGUAUCUCUCAGAGGAAGGAGCUGAAAACCAAUGGGGACAAGACUGAGGCAUCAGUACAAGGGCUGUGCCCCAUCCCAAGAGUCUUUCAGAAGUGCAGGUUGUCUGCAAAGUAAAGAAGUACUGACCUGGAUUAAUCUGUCAAGGACUAGGGAGGACCUGCAGGAAGAAGAGGAAGUUUGCUGGAGCACCUCAUGCAAUAGAAGGUAGAAAUCAUAGCGCAGGCUGCCCACCCUGGAGCGGUUCCCUUGGU